rnacentral:rRNA from 1 species
CUACGGGGUGCAGCAGUGGGGAAUAUUGGACAAUGGGGGAAACCCUGAUCCAGCAAUGCCGCGUGUGUGAAGAAGGCCUGCGGGUUGUAAAGCACUUUCGGUUGGGAGGACUGCUUCUAGCACUAAUAUUGUUGGAAGUUGACGUUACCUUCAGAAGAAGCACCGGCUAACUCCGUGCCAGCAGCCGCGGUAAUACGGAGGGUGCAAGCGUUAAUCGGAAUUGCUGGGCGUAAAGCGCGCGUAGGCGGCUAGAUCAGUCGGGUGUGAAAGCCCCGGGCUUAACCUGGGAACUGCAUCCGAUACUGUCUAGCUUGAGUACAGGAGAGGAGAGUGGAAUUCCACAUGUAGCGGUGAAAUGCGUAGAUAUGUGGAGGAACACCAAUGGCGAAGGCAGCUCUCUGGCCUGAUACUGACGCUGAGGUGCGAAAGCGUGGGGAACAAACAGGAUUAGAUACCCCAGUAGUC